UCUUGACACAAAAACGUUUGUCAAACAUCCUUCAAGUAAAGCAUAAACUUUUGAAGUUUUUACUGGUGCUAACGAAAUAAAUAGUCAUGAGUGGCUGUCCACCACCAUCGCCCCAAGUAUGCCCGCAAGUGUGCCCGCCGCCGCCGCCCGCGGCGCCCUGCCGCGUGAAGCCCAUCAUGCGAGGGCUCCACUGGGCGCAGACCAAGCGCGUCCUAGCCCAAGCCUGGGCCCUGGCCUUCUUGGGAGGCGCUUGCAUUUUCUUUUUCAAAAAGACGAAGAGAAUAGCAGCUUAUAAAGAUUUUUAUAAGAAAGGAGAGUUUGAAGAUUGGGCUGAUGAAAUGGCGAGAAAAGGAUUAUUUCAAUCUGUACCCAAAGAAUCUUUGCCGGAUAACCAGCACAUGAAAAAAUAAUUGAACCCUUGUUGAAUAAAAAUAAAUUAUUGUUAUUUGAUUGAA